CCAGACUCCUACGGGAGGCAGCAGUGGGGAAUAUUGCACAAUGGGGGAAACCCUGAUGCAGCAACGCCGCGUGAGUGAGGAAGUAUUUCGGUAUGUAAAGCUCUAUCAGCAGGGAAUAGAAAAGAAGGUACCUGAAAAAGAAGCCCCGGCUAACUACGUGCCAGCAGCCGCGGUAAUACGUAGGGGGCGAGCGUUAUCCGGAUUCACUGGGUGUAAAGGGAGCGUAGACGGCCAUGCAAGCCAGGGGUGAAAGCCCGGGGCCCAACCCCGGGACUGCCCUUGGAACUGCAUGGCUGGAGUGCGGGAGGGGCAGGCGGAAUUCCUGGUGUAGCGGUGAAAUGCGUAGAUAUCAGGAGGAACACCGGCGGCGAAGGCGGCCUGCUGGACCGCGACUGACGUUGAGGCUCGAAAGCGUGGGGAGCGAACAGGAUUAGAUACCCCUGUAA
rnacentral:rRNA from 1 species